rnacentral:rRNA from 1 species
CUGUCCUUAGUACGAGAGGACCGGGAUGGACGCACCGCUGGUGUACCAGUUGUCUUGCCAAAGGCAUCGCUGGGUAGCUAUGUGCGGAAGGGAUAAGUGCUGAAAGCAUCUAAGCAUGAAGCCCCCCUCGAGAUGAGAUUUCCCAUCACUUUAUGUGAGUAAGAUCCCUGAAAGAUGAUCAGGUAGAUAGGUCUGAGGUGGAAGCGUGGCGACACGUGCAGCUGACAGAUACUAAUCGAUCGAGGACUUAACCAC